GGGGCCCCAGGAGUUUGCUGGCCAGCGAGCCUCGCCAGAAAGGUGAACCUCGCAGUUAGUGUUAAGACUGUCUCAAGGCAGACAGAGACAGACCAAGAUUGGGAGAAGCAUCAUCUGCUGUUCUUCAAGGACGACCUUGAACUUCUACUCUUCCUGAUUCUGUCUCCCAAAUGCUGAGCUUACAGUGCGUCACACUCCCAAUCCUGACAGACAGAAAAAGUAAGCAAUAGAUCAACAGUGCCACUCUCCUGCCUCCAUGCUGGUACAGCGGGGACCAAGUUUCCGGCACGUGAAAAUUCGGGGGCAGACUAUAGCCAAACGGUGGCCAUGUCCACAGUUUUAAUACUCCCUGAGGUUCCGGGUACUGGAGGUCUCGGAAGAUAUCCUCCUCCAUUUUACUUACUUCAGUUUUCACUGAUGUGAGGACAUCAACAAGAAAUCUGGCGUCUUACUCGAUGUUUACCACAAAGCCAAGUAUGCACUGAGAGUGGGAGAUGAUGCCGGAAGAUACCAGACUCUCGCUCGCUGCUGGCAGGGACGAAGACGAAGACGGGAGCAGCUGCUUUGGAAAGCGAUUUGGCGGUUCCUCAUGAGGUUAAAGAAAAACUCAGCACAGGACCCAGCAGUUCCAGUUCUAGGUAUACAGUCAAAAGAACUGAAAACAAAUGUCCUCACCAGAGCUGGUCAUGUUCCAAGUGCUCACAGCAGCAUUACUAAUGACAGUAAAAGAUGGAAACAACCCAGAUGCCUGUCGGCUGGUGAGUGGGUAAACACCGUGCCGUCCUAUACGAUGGGCCAUUACUUGAUCAUAAAAGAAUGAAGGGAUGCGGAUGGAGCUUAGCAGAGUGUUUGCUGAGCACACACAAUGGAGGCGCAUGACUAUAACCUCAGUACUCAAGAGGCAAAGGCAGAAGGAUCACCUCCUCAGCUACAUAGUAAGUUCAAAGUUAGCCUGGGCUAAGAAGAGACCCUGAGGUCCUGGUGCAGACCACAAGGGUGAAUCUUCAAAGCAUUAUAUAUGUGAAAGAAACCAGAGUUUUAAAAACACUACAUAUUGCAUGAUUUCCAUUCAUAUGAAAUGUCUAAAAUAGGCCCACCCAUGGAAACACAAAAUGGGUUAGUGGUUGUCAGGGGCUGGAGUUUGUCUUAAUGGCUUUUGAGAAAGGAGUCUGCACUUCCUCAGAAGGCCAUUCUAGUAUCAUACACACUGAGCAUGUUUGUUUUUGUAAGUCUGUAAUAAAGUAAAGACUUCCUUCA